rnacentral:rRNA from 1 species
UGCCAUCGGGUUUGGCCGGGCACUCUGAAGGAACUGCCGGUGACAAGCCGGAGGAAGGUGGGGAUGACGUCAAGUCCUCAUGGCCCUUAUGGGCUGGGCUACACACGUGCUACAAUGGCGGUGACAAUGGGCAGCGAAGGGGCGACCCGGAGCUAAUCCCCAAAAACCGUCUCAGUUCGGAUUGCACGCUGCAACUCGCGUGCAUGAAGGUGGAAUCGCUAGUAAUCGUGGAUCAGCAUGCCACGGUGAAUACGUUCCCGGGCCUUGUACACACCGCCCGUCACACCAUGGGAGUUGGUUUUACCCGAAGCCGGUGGGCUAACCUUUCGAGGAGGCAGCCGUCCACGGUAAGGUCAGCGACUGGGGUG